GAUGAACGCUGGCGGCGUGCCUAAUACAUGCAAGUCGAACGAACAGACGAGGAGCUUGCUUCCUUGACCAUAGCGGGUGACUUGCGAGUAGCACGUGGACAACCUACCUAUAAGACUGGGAUCACUGCGGGAAACCGGAGCUAAUAACGUAUAACAUGAUAAACUUAAUUGUUCCACAGUCAAAGACGGUAUUGCUGACACAUACAGAUGGAUCGGCGCCGAGUUAGCUAUUGGGUAAGGGACGGGCUUACCAAGGCAACGAUGCUUAGCAGACCUGAGAGGGUGAUCGCCCAGCCGGGAACUGAGACAGGGUCCAGACUCCUACGGGGGGAAGCGGUAGGGAAUCUUCCGAAAGGGGCGAAGGCCUGACGGGGCAACGCCGGGUGAGUGAAGAGGGUCUUCGGACGGUAAAACUCUGUGAUUAGGGAAGAACAAAUGUGUAAGUAACUAUGCACGUCUUGACGGUACCUAAUCAGAAAGCCACGGCUAACUACGUG
rnacentral:rRNA from 1 species